rnacentral:rRNA from 1 species
CGCGCAGGUGGUCUAUCAAGUCUGGUGUGAAAGCCCAGGGCUCAACCCUGGAACUGCAUUGGAAACUAGUAGACUUGAGUCCAAGAGGGGUUAGUGGAAUUCCUGGUGUAGGGGUGAAAUCCGUAGAGAUCAGGAGGAACACCGGUGGCGAAGGCGACUGACUGGAUUGGAACUGACACUGAGGCGCGAAAGUGUGGGGAGCAAACAGGAUUAGAUACCCUGGUAGUCC